rnacentral:rRNA from 1 species
AACGGCCGCGGUAUUUUGACCGUGCAAAGGUAGCAUAAUCAUUAGUCUUUUAAUAGAAGGCUGGUAUGAAGGGUUUGACGAGCUGUUGACUGUCUCAUUUAAUUUGAAUUUAAAAUUUAACUUUUCAGUUAAAAGGCUGAAAUAUUAUUGGAAGACGAGAAGACCCUAUAGAUCUUUAUAAUUAAAUUAAUUAAUUAAUUUUUGUUAAUUGUGAUUUUUUAUAAAUUUAAUUAUUUUGUUGGGGUGACAGAAAUAUAUAAUUAACUUUUUUAUUUAUAUAACAUUGAUAAAUGAUUUUUAGAUCCAAUCUUAUUGAUUGUUAGAAUAAGUUACCUUAGGGAUAACAGCGUAAUCUUUCUUUAGAGUUCACAUUCACAGAAAGGCUUGCGACCUCGAUGUUGGAUUAAGAAAAUAAUUAGGUGUAGCCGCUUAAUAUAUAGGUCUGUUCGAC